rnacentral:rRNA from 1 species
AUUGAACGCUGGCGGCAGGCCUAACACAUGCAAGUCGAACGGUAACAGGAAACAGCUUGCUGUUUCGCUGACGAGUGGCGGACGGGUGAGUAAUGUCUGGGAAACUGCCUGAUGGAGGGGGAUAACUACUGGAAACGGUAGCUAAUACCGCAUAACGUCGCAAGACCAAAGAGGGGGACCUUCGGGCCUCUUGCCAUCGGAUGUGCCCAGAUGGGAUUAGCUAGUAGGUGGGGUAACGGCUCACCUAGGCGACGAUCCCUAGCUGGUCUGAGAGGAUGACCAGCCACACGGGGACUGAGACACGGUCCAGACUCCUACGGGAGGCAGCAGUGGGGAAUAGUGCACAAUGGGCGCAAGCCUGAUGCAGCCAUGCCGCGUGUAUGAAGAAGGCCUUCGGGUUGUAAAGUACUUUCAGCGGGGAGGAAGGGAGUAAAGUUAAUACCUUUGCUCAUUGACGUUACCCGCAGAAGAAGCACCGGCUAACUCCGUG